UACGGAGGAUGCAAGCGUUAUCCGGAUUCAUUGGGUUUAAAGGGUGCGUAGGCUGGCCAAUAAGUCAGAGGUGAAAAGCAUAGGCUUAACUUAUGCACUGCCUUUGAUACUGCAUUGCUUGAGUUCGGGAGAGGGUAGUGGAAUUCCAGGUGUAGGAGUGAAAUCCGUAGAGAUCUGGAGGAACACCGGUGGCGAAGGCGGCUUGCUGGACAAAUACUGACGCUGAGGUGCGAAAGCGUGGGGAGCAAAC
rnacentral:rRNA from 1 species